UACGGAGGAUGCGAGCGUUAUCCGGAUUUAUUGGGUUUAAAGGGUGCGUAGGCGGAUCGUUAAGUCAGUGGUCAAAUUGAGGGGCUCAACCCCUUCCCGCCAUUGAAACUGGCGAUCUUGAGUGGAAGAGAAGUAUGCGGAAUGCGUGGUGUAGCGGUGAAAUGCAUAGAUAUCACGCAGAACCCCGAUUGCGAAGGCAGCAUGCCGGCUUCCGACUGACGCUGAAGCACGAAAGCGUGGGGAUCGAACAG
rnacentral:rRNA from 1 species